AUUGAACGCUGGCGGCAGGCCUAACACAUGCAAGUCGAGCGAGCGGCGGACGGGUGAGUAAUGUAUGGGGACUGCCCGCUAGAGGGGGAUAACUACUGGAAACGGUAGCUAAUACCGCAUACUAUCGGGUGACCCAUAUGGGAUUAGCUAGUAGGUGAGGUAAUGGCUCACCUAGGCGACGAUCCCUAGCUGGUCUGAGAGGAUGAACAGGCACACUGGUACUGAGAAACGGCCCAGACCCCUACGGAGGGAGCAGUGGGGACUAUUGCACGGUGGGCGCAAGCCUGAUGCUACGAUGCCGCGUGUAUGAAGAAGGCCCUAGGGUUGUAAAGUGCUGUCAGUCGGGAGGCGUUUCCGACAGAAGAAGCACCGGCUAACUCCGUGCCAGCCGCCGCGGUAAUAC
rnacentral:rRNA from 1 species